UACGUAGGGGGCUAGCGUUGUCCGGAAUCAUUGGGCGUAAAGCGCGCGUAGGCGGCCCGGUAAGUCCGUUGUGAAAGUCAAAGGCUCAACCUUUGAAUGCCGAUGGAUACUGCCGGGCUCGAGUCCGGAAGAGGCGAGUGGAAUUCCUGGUGUAGCGGUGGAAUGCGCAGAUAUCGGGAGGAACACCGGUGGCGAAGGCGGCCCCCUGGUUGGAUACUGACGCUGAGACGCGAAAGCGUGGGGAGCAAACAGG
rnacentral:rRNA from 1 species